rnacentral:rRNA from 1 species
UACGUAGGGACCGAGCGUUGUCCGGAAUCAUUGGGCGUAAAGAGCGUGUAGGCGGCCAACUAAGUCCUGCGUGAAAUCUCGGGGCUCAACCCCGAGCGGUCGUGGGAAACUGGUUGGCUAGAGUGCGGGAGAGGAGAGUGGAAUUCCUGGUGUAGCGGUGAAAUGCGCAGAUAUCAGGAGGAACACCAAUUGCGAAGGCAGCUCGCUGGGACGUUACUGACGCUGAGACGCGAAAGCGUGGGGAGCAAACAGG